UACGUAGGGUGCAAGCGUUGUCCGGAAUUAUUGGGCGUAAAGAGCUCGUAGGCGGUCUGUCGCGUCGAAUGUGAAAACCCGGGGCUCAACCCCGGGCCUGCAUUCGAUACGGGCAGACUAGAGUUCGGUAGGGGAGUCUGGAAUUCCUGGUGUAGCGGUGAAAUGCGCAGAUAUCAGGAGGAACACCGGUGGCGAAGGCGGGAUCUCUGGGCCGUAACUGACGCUGAGGAGCGAAAGCGUGGGGAGCGAACAGG
rnacentral:rRNA from 1 species